rnacentral:rRNA from 1 species
UACGUAGGGGGCAAGCGUUGUCCGGAUUUACUGGGCGUAAAGAGCGUGUAGGCGGCCAAGCAGGUCUGCUGUGAAAACUCGAGGCUCAACCUCGAGACGUCGGCGGAAACCAUCUGGCUAGAGUCCGGAAGAGGAGAGUGGAAUUCCUGGUGUAGCGGUGAAAUGCGCAGAUAUCAGGAAGAACACCCGUGGCGAAGGCGGCUCUCUGGGACGGUACUGACGCUGAGACGCGAAAGCGUGGGGAGCGAACAGG